rnacentral:lncRNA from 1 species
AUCUGAGAUGCUUAGUAGAUACCCCAAGAAGUUCUUUUAUUAUACAGGAUUGUUUUAGCUAUUGUAUGUUUUUAGUUUUCCAUAUGAAGUUGAGUAGUGUUUUUCAAUGUCUGUACAGAACUGUGGUGGAAUCUUGAUGGGGAUUGCUUUGAUUCUGCAGAUUGCUUUUGGUGGGAUGGUAAUUUUUAUUAUAUCAAUCGUACUGAUCCAUGAGCAUGGGGGAUCUUUCCAUCUUCUGAUAGCUUCUUCAAUUUCUUUCUUCAAAGACUUGAAGUUAUUGUCAUAUAGGUCUUUUACUCGCUUGGCUAGAGUUACACCGGGAUACUUUAGUUAUCUGUGGCUAUUGUGAAGGGUGUUCUUUCCCCGAUUUCUCUCUCAGCCCAUUUAUCAUCUGUAUUUAGGAGGACUACUGAUAUUGUUGAAUUAAUUUUGUAUCCAGCUGCUUUGCUGAAGGUGUUUAUCAGCUGUCGGAGUUCCCUGGAAUAAUUUUUGAGGUCACUUAAGUAUACUAUCAUCUCAUCUCAUCUCUGAAUAUUAAUAACUUUGACUUUUUCCUUUCCAGUUUGUAUUCCUGUAAUCUUCUUCCACUGGUUUCUUUAUCUAGCUAGAACUUCAAGUACUAUAUUUAAUAGAUUUGGAGAGAAUCCUUGGUCAUUCUUGUCUGGUUCCUGAUUUUAGUGAAAUUGCUUCUUCUCCAUUUAAUUUAAUGUUGGCUAUAGGCUUACUGUAAAUUGUCUUUAUUGUGUUUAGGUCUUUCUCUUUUAUCCUUAAUCUCUCCAAAACUACUAUCACAAAGGGGUGUUGGAUUUUGUCAAAGGCUUUUUCAGCAUCUAACAAGAUUAUUAUGUGGGUUUUUUCCUUUGAGUUUGUUUGUAGGAUGGAUUACAUUGUCAGAUUUUCUUAUGUUGACCCAUCCCUACAUCUGUAAGAUGAACCCUACUUGAUCAUGGUGGGUGAUCUUUUUGAUGUGUUCUAGGAUUCAGUUUUCAAGUGUUUUUGCAUCAGAGCUCAUGUCAGAAAUUGGUCUGUAAUUCUCUUUCUUUGUUGAGUUUUAUGUGGUUUGGGUGUCAGGGUUACUGUGUCCUCAUAAAAUGAAUUUGGCAAUGGUUUUUCUGUUUCUAUUUUGUGGGAUAAUUAUUCCUUUUUAUUUUUUAUUUUUAGAUUUUCCAAUUUUGUGGAGUAUGGGUUCUUGAAGUGUGAACUAACGAUUCUUUGGAGUUCUUCAGUGUCUGUUGUUAUUUCCCCCUUUUCUUUUCUGAUUUUGUUAAGUAGGUAUUCUCUCUCUAUUGUGUUUUAGUUUGUUUGGAUAAGGGUUUGUAUAUCUUGCUGAUUUUCUCAAAGAACCAACUUUUUCUUUCAUUGAUUCUUUGUAUUGUUUUGUUUUCAUUUUAUUGAUUUCAGCCCUCAGUUUGAUUAUUUUCUGGUGUCUGCUCUCCUGGGGUGUGUUUGUUUCUUUUUGUUCUAGAGCUUUCAGGUGAGCUGUUAAGUUGCUAUUAUGUGAUCUCUUCAAUUUCUUUAUGAAGGCACUUAGUGCUAUGAAUUUUCCUCUUAGCACUGUUUUCAUUGUUCAAUGAGCAUUUUUAUAAAUCAGCUCUUUUGUUACCCUUUCUGUAGAAUAAUUUCUUGGAAGUGUCAUUUAGCAUGAAAGUUCUCCACAUUGCUCAAUUCCUUUGCAACUUCCUGCUGGUCCUGUAAAGGUUCUAUGUCCCAGUAUAGGGAAAUACCUGGGCCAGGAAGCGGGAGUGGGUGGGUUGGGUUUGCAGGGAGAGGGGGGAAAGGAUAGGGGAUUUUCGGAGGGGAAACUAGGAAAGGGGAUAACAUUAGAAAUGUAAAUAAAGAAAAUAUCU